rnacentral:rRNA from 1 species
GACGAACGCUGGCGGCGUGCCUAACACAUGCAAGUCGAACGGAAAGGCCCUGCUUUUGUGGGGUGCUCGAGUGGCGAACGGGUGAGUAACACGUGAGUAACCUGCCCUUGACUUUGGGAUAACUUCAGGAAACUGGGGCUAAUACCGGAUAGGAGCUCCUGCUGCAUGGUGGGGGGUGGAAAGUUUCGGCGGUUGGGGAUGGACUCGCGGCUUAUCAGCUUGUUGGUUGGGUAGUGGCUUACCCAGGCUUUGACGGGUAGCCGGCCUGGGAGGGUGACCGGGCACAUGGGGACUGAGGGAGGGCCCAGACGCGUACGGGAGGCAACAGUGGGGAGUAUUACACAGUGGGCGGGAGCGUGAUGCGGCAACGCCGCGUGCGGGAUGACGGCCUUCGGGUUGUAAACCGCUUUCGCCUGUGACGAAGCGUGAGUGACGGUAAUGGGUAAAGAAGCACCGGCUAACUACGUG